rnacentral:rRNA from 1 species
AGCGAGUCUUAACUGGGCGCUCAGUCUCUGGAUAUAGACCCGAAACCGGGUGAUCUAGCCAUGGGCAGGUUGAAGGUUGAGUAACAUCAACUGGAGGACCGAACCGACUAAUGUUGAAAAAUUAGCGGAUGACUUGUGGCUAGGGGUGAAAGGCCAAUCAAACUCGGAGAUAGCUGGUUCUCCCCGAAAGCUAUUUAGGUAGCGCCUCGGACGAAUACUACUGGGGGUAGAGCACUGUUAAGGCUAGGGGGUCAUCCCGACUUACCAACCCUUUGCAAACUCCGAAUACCAGUAAGUACUAUCCGGGAGACACACGGCGGGUGCUAACGUCCGUCGUGGAGAGGGAAACAACCCAGACCGCCAGCUAAGGUCCCAAAGUAUUGCUAAGUGGGAAACGAUGUGGGAAGGCUCAGACAGCUAGGAUGUUGGCUUAGAAGCAGCCAUCAUUUAAAGAAAGCGUAAUAGCUCACUAGUCGAGUCGGCCUGCGCGGAAGAUGUAACGGGGCUAAGCAAUACACCGAAGCUGCGGCAAUGUCUUUUAGACAUUGGGUAGGGGAGCGUUCUGUA